rnacentral:rRNA from 1 species
GACGGAGGGUGCAAGCGUUGUUCGGAAUUACUGGGCGUAAAGGGCGCGUAGGCGGUUUGCUAAGUUCGGUGUGAAAGCCCCUGGCUCAACUGGGGAACGGCGCUGGAAACUGGCAGACUAGAGUACCGGAGAGGAGGGUGGAAUUCCUGGUGUAGCGGUGAAAUGCGUAGAUAUCUGGAGGAAUACCGGUGGCGAAGGCGGCAUCCUGGACCGGCAUUGACGCUGAGGAGCGAAAGCCAGGGGAGCGAACGGG